rnacentral:rRNA from 1 species
AGAGUUUGAUCCUGGCUCAGGACGAACGCUGGCGGCGUGCCUAACACAUGCAAGUCGAGCGAAGCGUAAGCAUUAGCUUGCUAAAGCUUAUGACUGAGCGGCGAACGGGUGAGUAACACGUGGGUAAUCUACCUGGAAGUCUGGGAUAACAGUUGGAAACGGCUGCUAAUACCGGAUGAAAUUGGUGAUAUAGAGUCAUCGAUCAAAGCGUUACGGAGUGCUUUCAGAUGAGCCCGCGUCCCAUUAGUUAGUUGGUAGGGUAAAGGCCUACCAAGGCGACGAUGGGUAGCCGGUCUGAGAGGAUGGUCGGCCACACUGGAACUGAGACACGGUCCAGACCCCUACGGGAGGCAGCAGUGGGGAAUUUUGCGCAAUGGGGGCAACCCUGACGCAGCGACGCCGCGUGAGCGAUGAAGGCCUUCGGGUUGUAAAGCUCUGUUGAGGGGGAAGAUAGUGACGGUACCCCUUAAGAAAGCCCCGGCUAACUACGUGCCAGCAGCCGCGGUAAGACGUAGGGGGCGAGCGUUGUCCGGAAUUACUGGGCGUAAAGGGCGUGUAGGCGGCCUAUCAAGUCAGCUGUGAAAUUCCCCGGCUCAACCGGGGGUCUGCAGUUGAAACUGGUGGGCUUGAGUGCAGGAGAGGAAGGUGGAAUUCCCGGUGUAGCGGUGAAAUGCGUAGAUAUCGGGAGGAACACCGGUGGCGAAGGCGGCUUCUGGCCUGUAACUGACGCUGAGGCGCGAAAGCUAGGGGAGCAAACAGGAUUAGAUACCCUGGUAGUCCUAGCUGUAAACGCUGGGUAAUAGGUGUAGGGGGUUUAGACGCUCUCUGUGCCGUAGUUAACGCAUUAAGUACCCCGCCUGGGGAGUACGAUCGCAAGGUUGAAACUCAAAGGAAUUGACGGGGGCCCGCACAAGCGGUGGGGCAUGUGGUUUAAUUCGACGCAACGCGAAGAACCUUACCAGGGCUUGACAUCUGCCUGACGCUAAUUAGAGAUAGUUAGCUUCUUUCGGGACAGGCAGACAGGUGGUGCAUGGUUGUCGUCAGCUCGUGUCGUGAGAUGUUGGGUUAAGUCCCGCAACGAGCGCAACCCUUAUUCUUAGUUGCCAGCAGGUUAAGCUGGGCACUCUAAGGAGACUGCCGGUGACAAACCGGAGGAAGGUGGGGAUGACGUCAAAUCAUCAUGCCCUUUAUGUCCUGGGCUACACACGUGCUACAAUGGCCGGUACAACGGGUUGCGAGACAGCGAUGUUUAGCCAAUCCCUUAAAGCCGGUCUCAGUUCGGAUUGCAGGCUGCAACUCGCCUGCAUGAAGUCGGAAUCGCUAGUAAUCGCGAAUCAGCACGUCGCGGUGAAUACGUUCCCGGGCCUUGUACACACCGCCCGUCACACCACGAAAGCUGGCAACACCCGAAGCCGGUGGGCUAACCGCAAGGAGGCAGCCGUCUAAGGUGGGGUUAGUGAUUGGGGUGAAGUCGUAACAAGGUAGCCGUAG